rnacentral:snRNA from 1 species
AAGAUAACUUGAUAGAUUAGGAA